CAAAAUGUAGCUUAAACAAAGCAACUCGCUUACACCGAGCCAAUGUGUGUUAACUCAGACCAUUUUGA
rnacentral:tRNA from 1 species